AGCAAAUAGAUACCCUGGUAGUCCACGCAGUAAACGAUGCAGACUAGGCGUGGGGGGACGUCGACCCCUCCCGUGCCGGAGCCAAACGCGGUAAGUCUGCCGCCUGGGGAGGUACGGCCGCAAGGCUAAAACUACAAAGGAAUUGACGGGGGCCCGGCACAAGCGGCGGAGCGUGCGGUUUAAUUCGACGCAACGCGCAGAACCUUACCAGGGCUUGACAUGCGCCUGCAGAGCCGGGAAACCGGUUUGGCCUUCGAGGGUGGCGCACAGGUGCUGCAUGGCUGUCGUCAGCUCGUGUCGUGAGAUGUUGGGUUAAGUCCCGCAACGAGCGCAACCCCGUCGGUCAGUUGCCGAUGUUUCUGACCAGACUGCCGGCAGCAAACCGGAGGAAGGUGGGGAUGACGUCAAGUCAGCAUGGCCCUUACGUCCUGGGCGACACGCACGCUACAAUGGCCGGGACAACGGGUCGCC
rnacentral:rRNA from 1 species